GACGAACGCUGGCGGCGUGCCUAAUACAUGCAAGUCGAACGCAGUGGGGACAGGUGAGUAGCACGUGGGUAACCUCCCAUCAGAGGGGAUAACACUUGGAAACAGGUGCUAAACCGAUACUGAUGGAUGGACCCGCGUUGCAUUAGCUAGUUGGUGAGGUAAAGGCGCACCAAGGCCACGAUGCAUAGCCGACCGGAGAGGGUGACCAGCCACACUGGGACUGAGACACGGCCCAGACUCCUACGGGAGGCAGCAGUGGGGAAUCUUCGGCAAUGGACGAAAGUCUGACCGAGCCACGCCGCGUGAGUGAAGAAGGUUUUCGGAUCGUAAAACUCUGUUGUUAGAGAAGCGGUAUCUAACCAGAAAGCCACGGCUAACUACGUGCCAGCAGCCGCGGUAAUAC
rnacentral:rRNA from 1 species